GACAGAGGGUGCAAACGUUUGUUCGGAAUUACUGGGCGUAAAGCGAGUGUAGGCGGUUUGGUAAGUCGGAUGUGAAAGCCCCGGGCUCAACCCGGGAAGUGCACUCGAUACGCCAGCUAGAGUAUCGGAGAGGUUGGUGGAAUUCUCGGUGUAGAGGUGAAAUUCGUAGAUAUCGAGAGGAACACCGGUGGCGAAGGCGGCCAACUGGACCGACACUGACGUGGAGGCGCGAAAAGCGUGGGGAGCAAACAGG
rnacentral:rRNA from 1 species